rnacentral:rRNA from 1 species
AUUGAACGCUGGCGGCAUGCCUUACACAUGCAAGUCGAACGGCAGCACGGGAGCAAUCCUGGUGGCGAGUGGCGAACGGGUGAGUAAAGUAUCGGAACGUGCCAAGUCGUGGGGGAUAACGUAGCGAAAGUUACGCUAAUACCGCAUACGAUCUAUGGAUGAAAGCGGGGGAUCGCAAGACCUCGCGCGAUUGGAGCGGCCGAUAUCAGAUUAGGUAGUUGGUGGGGUAAAGGCUCACCAAGCCGACGAUCUGUAGCUGGUCUGAGAGGACGACCAGCCAGAGUGGAGCUGAGCAACGGCCCAGACGCCUAAGGGAGGCAGCGGUAGGGAAUUUUGGACAAUGGGCGAAAGCCUGAUCCAGCCAUGCCGGUGGCAGGAUGAAGGCCUUCGGGUUGUAAACUGCUUUUGUAGGGAACGAAAAGGUUUGGCCUAAUAAGCUGAGCUCAUGACGGUACCGUAAGAAUAAGCACCGGCUAACUACGUGCCAGCCGCCGCGGUGA